GGAUCUAGACUUUGCGAGUGUCUCGAUUCUUCUCCCUCCCCGAGUUCUUCCGCCCCCGCGCUCCUCGUUCGCCGCCACCACCGAUUCCUCUGAGCCAUUCCGGCUCUGCGUCACCACUGCCCCCCUCUGCGGCCGCCGAGACCCACCUCGCCCCACUCCGUGACCUCCGCGACGCAGGAGCAGAUCAUCCCAAGGCAGGCAGGUAAGGUUGAAAACAGUGCAAAGGCAAUGAGUGUGAACUGAGAGAUAAGACUAUAUGUCUGAAAUGGAAUUCUCUGCUCUAUCUCUCGACAUCAACAGGCCAAAGCCUCAACAUGUUCUGCCUCCAAGCCUUUCCCUGACUGGUGGAGCAGCUGAUCCAACACCACAGCUACAGGGAAAAACUAUAGAUUGAGGCCUCCUCCUGCAUACAAGGAGCUUUCGGCAAGGUGUUCGAUUACCACUAAUCUUGGUUCCAAGCAGACCUAGGUAUCAUACGCGUUUCCCUCUUACUUUGAUCCGGUUAGAUACUUGAGUGUUUUGCCAAACCGAUGAUUAAAUGUGGCAACUGAUUGUAAGCAUGUAGGCCCCUAAUUCGAGUUUUGAUGAUUAACGACAACGGAAUCAUCAUGACUAACUUAUACAUUGGGUAGA